GAUCUAUUAGGUCCCUUCCGACCCUGAAACUAUGAAACUGGAGGAAAUGGUUGCAAUUAAAAGAGUAAAUAAUAACAGAUCAAAUCAAGUCAAAGCUGGAUAUUAAAAUAUUCCCCUAAAUGAAAGCAGUGAAAGAACAGAAGUACAGCUAAUAAAAUGCAAAGCAAGGCAAACACAGAGUAUAAAAAUAAGCAUACAGCAAAAAGUCAUCUGUGUGCAAUAAAGAUAGAGGUAAGAGGCUGUGUCCAUUAUAAAGAGUGCAAUGUUAUGCAUAUAAUAAAGAUGUGUAGUUCUCAGCGUAAGUUGCAAAUAGUCUUUGCAAUGAGCCACUUUGUACAAAGGGAAUGACCUCAAAACAAGGGGUCCAUAGAGAGAUUCAUAGGCUUGUUAACAUAUCCAAGUGAAUUAAUCCCUAUUUGUCACAAUCAAGCAUGCCGUUCCUUCCCUGCUUAAUGGAGGAAAAGUUUGUGACUUAGACCUCUGGGGCACUAAGUUAAUGGGUUUACUGAAUAUUCUAUCCUUCCUUUUGCACAUUUUUCUAAGUGUCUGUUUCAUAUAGUGAAUUGUUUUACUAGUUAUUAGCAUUUGUUCUUAAUACAAAUGGAAGAAAUUUGAUAUAAUUCAAACAUGUUCCUAGAAGAGGCUUUCAUCAAUGUUUUCAGCUUGUUUAUUCUUUGAGUCACAGAAGUCAUUUCAGAGAAUGUGAUUACCCUACUCUUGUGAACUCUUUAUCAUUCAACUUUACAAGCACUGAAUCUAUCAAAUGCUGUUAAAGGGGAUACCUAUGGAUUCCAUGCAAACAGUUAUCCUACCUCUCAGAUAAAGAUCAAGCAGGCUUAAAUGUGAUAUUCUGCAGUAAACAGAUGCUUGACCUAAUGUCCCAAGGAGCAGCAGCAGGGAGAAGGGAUGCCUGGAAUCAUUUAAUCAUGCUGGAUGGAGUAAAGGAGAAGAGAAGCCAUUUCUAUCAAGGCAGAAGCAGCAGGAUCCCUGUGAAAGACAAACUUUAAGCUGCCUAAACCUAAACCAGAAGUGGUACAUGCAAUUGGUCAUUGCUUCUGGAAGCAGCAUGGGCAGCCUGAGAAACGAUCAGGGUUUCCUGAGGUCAGAGGAGGAAAAGGUUGUCUGCUUUCCGGUGAAGGUCAUGUCCUGCUUCUGGGAGGUGAUGGCAACUCCUGCUCCAUGUGGUUUUGCAGAAAAGUUUUGAAAACUGAACAGAAAAGUAUAGGUAAAACAUAGAAUGCACUGACAUUCUGUUUUCCUGCAUGGCAUUAUAGGCAGCAUUCUGCUCUCAGAUAUACACAGAUGAAACAUGCAUGUGUCUGGGGCAGAACUGGAUCCAACACUUAUACAUGCAUGUGUGGUCCUUACUUUCAGAAAUGUAAUUCCAGGAACUGUUGCUAAAACCUUGUAUGCUGAAAUGUUAAAUGUUGUAAUUAAGAAUAUUAUGCAGAAAUUCUGGCAUUCUGCUUGUGUUGCUGAAUGUUUCCAUUUAUCAAAUCACAGGCUUUAUCUUGCAUUACAGUUUGUACACAUUCAAGCUUAUUUCAACAAACUAUGUUGAAUAAUUAUUUGUCUGUCAUCUGUUAACGUCUGCUUGAUAGCUAAAUCGUUCCUGGCAACACAGCUGGGAAAUUUGCUGGUUUAUUGCUGCCACUUUCAUGUUCAAUUUGUGUUCAUAAUGGCACUGAAAUAUAUUCCAUGUGUAUUUGGGAAGGAUAUUUUUUUGUAUCAUGCCUUAGAGGAAAAGAAUGAUUUUCUAAUAUGCAUAAAUUAAAAUUAGCAGUGAUGUUAGAACUAAGAAUGUAAUGCUUCAUCUCACUCCUGUACAUUUUUGUACCAUUAAAAAUA